GCCUGGGUGGCUCAGUCGGUUGAGUGUCUGACUUCAGCUCAGGUCAUGAUCUCACGGUUUGUGGGUUUAAGCCACACAUCAGGCU
rnacentral:tRNA from 1 species